CCCCUAGAUGUUCUGGGCCGCACGCGCGCUACACUGAACAGUUUAACAAGUCUUAACCUUGGCCGAUAGGUCUGGGUAAUCUUUGAACGCUGUUCGUGAUUGGGAUAGACCUUUGCAAUUAUGGGUCUUCAACGAGGAAUUCCUAGUAAACGCAAGUCAUCAGCUUGCAUUGAUUACGUCCCUGCCCUUUGUACACACCGCCCGUCGCACCUACCGAUUGAAUGGUCCGGUGAAAUCUCGGGACGGCGGCUUGGUCGCUUGCGUCCGACUGCUGAAACUUGAUUAAACCAUAUCAUUUAGAGGAAGGUGAANUCGUANCA
rnacentral:rRNA from 1 species